UUUUAAUGAGAGUUUGAUCCUGGCUCAGGACGAACGCUGGCGGCGUGCCUAAUACAUGCAAGUAGAACGCUGAGGUUUGGUGUUUACACUAGACUGAUGAGUUGCGAACGGGUGAGUAACGCGUAGGUAACCUGCCUCAUAGCGGGGGAUAACUAUUGGAAACGAUAGCUAAUACCGCAUAAGAGUAAUUAACACAUGUUAGUUAUUUAAAAGGAGCAAUUGCUUCA
rnacentral:rRNA from 1 species